CCUACGGGAGGCUGCAGUGGGGAAUAUUGCACAAUGGGCGCAAGCCUGAUGCAGCCUUGCCGCGUGUGUGAAGUAGGCCUUCGGGUUGUAAAGCACUUUCAGCGGGGAGGAAGGCGGUGAGGUUAAUAACCUCAUCGAUUGACGUUACCCGCAGAAGAAGCACCGGCUAACUCCGUGCCAGCAGCCGCGGUAAUACGGAGGGUGCAAGCGUUAAUCGGAAUUACUGGGCGUAAAGCGCACGCAGGCGGUCUGUCAAGUCGGAUGUGAAAUCCCCGGGCUCAACCUGGGAACUGCAUUCGAAACUGGCAGGCUAGAGUCUUGUAGAGGGGGGUAGAAUUCCAGGUGUAGCGGUGAAAUGCGUAGAGAUCUGGAGGAAUACCGGUGGCGAAGGCGGCCCCCUGGACAAAGACUGACGCUCAGGUGCGAAAGCGUGGGGAGCAAACAGGAUUAGAUACCCUAGUAGUC
rnacentral:rRNA from 1 species